rnacentral:lncRNA from 1 species
AUGAAAGCAAUUCUACAAAGGGAUUAUUUUGACUGGCUGUUCAAGAUUCCAGAGGAGGAGAUUAAUGUGCAGGAAGCCUCGCAGAGCAACUGGAAAAGCUCGCUGGCUUUGCACAUUUUUGUGAGCUUCACGGCUCACUGUGUCAAGGUUAUCUUCCUCAGACAGGAUGAUGUGGAUGUCAAACAGCCAUGCAGCAAGCAGAAGGGCUGGGGUCUGACAGCAGCUGCUGAAGUGCUGAAUUGCCUGUGCCUGAAGAGGUCUGACCACAGCUGGGGGUUACAGAAGGUGCAGCAGGGAGGAGUGUGAAACCCUGCUUUCCUCCACAGAUACAUGUGGGAUGGCUUUGGAGCAAACCUGGCAAGCGAGCCUGUGGUUAUUGGUCUGACAGGCACAAGAGCAGAGGGUGCUGCCACUCUCCUGUGAAGCCAUAGGAAGUGUUUCAUGAUUCAAGAUAAAACCUUCACU